rnacentral:rRNA from 1 species
GCCUACGGGAUGCAGCAGUGGGGAAUAUUGGGCAAUGGGCGCAAGCCUGACCCAGCAACGCCGCGUGAAGGAAGAAGGCUUUCGGGUUGUAAACUUCUUUUCUCAGGGACGAAGAAAGUGACGGUACCUGAGGAAUAAGCCACGGCUAACUACGUGCCAGCAGCCGCGGUAAUACGUAGGUGGCAAGCGUUAUCCGGAUUUACUGGGUGUAAAGGGCGUGUAGGCGGAGAAGCAAGUCAGAUGUGAAAACCACGGGCUCAACCUGUGGCCUGCAUUCGAAACUGUUUUUCUUGAGUACUGGAGAG